GGCACCUUUGGCCCCCGGUCGUGCGGUAGCCUCACACACCAUCGGUAGCAUGUGCCAUCCCGUGGUGCGGGGCCAUGUGUCAGAGCAUCGGCCACUACCAGCCCCUUCGAUGUGUCAGAGCAUUGGGCAGCAUCGGUACCUUAGUGCAUCAGAUGUGCGGGAGGGUCAAGCACCUGACUUCUGGAAAGGAUGCAUUUAUUAGAUAAAAGGUCGACGUGGGCUUUGCUCGUUGCUCUGAUGAUUCAUGAUAACUCAACGGGUUGCACGGCCUUUGUGCCGGCGACGCAUCAUUCAAAUUUUUGCCCUAUCAACUUUUGAUGGUAGGAUAGUGGCCUACUAUGGUGGUGACGGGUGAUGGAGAAUUAGGGUUCGAUUCCUGAAAGGGAGCCUAAGAAACGGCUACCAUAUCCAAGGAAGACAGCAGGCGCGCAAAUUACCCAAUCCUGACACGAGGAGGUAGUGACAAUAAAUAACAAUACCGGGCUCUAUGAGUCUGGUAGUUGGAAUGAGUACAAUCUAAAUCCCUUAACGAGGAUCCAUAGGAGGGCAAGUCUGGUGCCAGCAAUCGCGGUAAUUCCAGCUCCAAUAGCGUAUAUUUAAGUUGUUGCAUUUAAAAAGCUCGUAGUUGGAUUUAAGGGUGGGUCGGUCGGUCCGCCUCACAGUGAGCACUAGUUUGCUCGUCCCUACUGUCGGUGAUGCUCUCCUGGCCUUAAUCGGUUGGGUCGUUCAUUCAGUGCUGUUACUUUGAAGAAAUUAGAGUGCUCAAAGCAGGCCUACAUUUGUAUACAUUAGCAUAGGAUAACAUCAUAGGAUUUCGAUCCUAUUGUGUUGGCCUUCAGGAUCAGAGUAAUGAUUAACAGGGACAGUUGGGGGCAUUUUUAUUUCAUAGUCAGAGGUGAAAUUCUUGGAUUUAUGAAAGAGGAACAACUGCGAAAGCAUUUUCCAAGGAUGUUUUCAUUAAUCAAGAAUGAAAGUUGGGGCUCAAAGACUCGAUGGUUAGGCAGAAUCCCAUGACUACUUUAACGUCAUUAGUUGGGUAUGCUUCAGCUUCAAUCCACUUGAAUACGUAAUCUAAAACUACCAAAAUAAACUUAUUACCGUAUGAAGAAGGAAAUAGGCCUAGAAAAUCAAUGCCCCAUACAUCAAGAAAUUCUAUCUCUAAAAUAUUCAUUAAAGGCAUCUGAUUCCUUCUUGGUAUGUUUCCAGUUCUUUGGCAUCUAUCACAGUUUCUCACAUAUGCAUAAACAUCCUUGAACAAUGUAGGCCAAAAGAACCCAGC
rnacentral:rRNA from 1 species